GUUCGUUAGGCAGCACAUAUAAUAAAAUUGGAAUGAUACAGAGAAGAUUAGCAUAGCCCCUGCGCAAGGACGACAGGCAAAUUCGUGAAGCGCUAAAAAAAGGG